UCCCUGUUUCAGACACACGUAUGUCGCCUUGUAGCGCAUUGACCAAGUUUUUUUAGCUCUUUAGGGGGAAGUGACAUUGAGGUAGUAGGGGUUAUCCAGGGCACUGCCCACGCCCAUCGCAUGCCUGGACGUCGGUGCCCCCACCACCAGUUAGGUUCUCGACGGUGCUCCGAUGAUCCAUCCCAGCAAGGCAUCCUGGAAUAUACGAAAAUGAUGAACCGAGUCCCUCCCCAAUACCAAAGGUAGAACUCGAAUAUCGUUACAUGUUCGGUACCCAACAAUUAAUGAAUCCUCCAGGUCCCUCCCCAUUCUAAGUGUAGAAUUCGGAUACCCAACAAUGAAUGAAUCAUCCCGGUCCCUCCCCUUUUGCAACAAGAGCCUCCAGCACCUUGGUGGCUUGGAUGUGUGGGAGCCUCGAACACCAUCGGAACCUUGGUGGCUCAGAUGAGGGGGAGCCUCGAGCACCAUUGGCACCUUGGUGCUCGGAUGUGCUGGAGCCUCGGCCACCAUCGGUAACCUUGGUGCCUGGAUGUGCGAAAGGCUCGAGCACGAUCGGUACCUUGGUUCUUGUAUGUGCGAGAGCCUCGAGCACCACUGGCACCUUGGUGGCUCGGAUGUGCGGGAGCCUUUGACACCAUCAACAACCUUGGUGCUUGGAUGUGCGAGAGCCUCGAGCACCAUCGGCACCUUGGUGCUUGGAUGUGCGGGAGCCUCGAGCACCAAAGCAAAAGUUGGGCCCCUAUUGGUGCGGAAGCGUCGGGUAAAAAAAGUGUCCCCGGUUCUUUGGAAUAUCUGGAACAGCAGGAACAACAAAGUUUUUGGGAAUAGGGAGGAGGAUGCCAAAGUGACGUGGGAGAGGGCUACCGCGUUAAGCCAUGACUUCCGCAUCUUUAAUCUGUUGAAGGAGCCGUCUUUACCGAAGCCUGCUGUGAAAAAGGGUUGGCGGAAGCCAAACCAGGGGAUGGUUAAAAUUAACUUUGAUGCUGCUGUAAAAGACCGAAAGUCUAGUUUUGGAAUUAUUGCCAGAGACCAUGAUGGUUUUGUCUUGGGGGCGUGCUCGGGUUUUUAACAGGAACUACAAUGCGGAUUGGGCUGAGUUGUACGCGCUUGAGGAGAGCAUUAGUUUGGCUAGGGAUAAUUCGUGGACCAAGGUGGAAUUUGAGUCUGAUUGUGCCAAUCUGGUUAACCGCCUUAGAAGACCGAAUCUUGAUUUGUCAACUAUGGGCCAUCGCAUUCGGGACUUGCUAAAUUUUUUGAACCCAAGUUUUAGUUUUAUUUUCAAGUGGGCUCCACGCUGUUGUAAUAAAGCCGCUGAUCAGCUUUGUAGUUGGGCUAUGCUUGAAAAUUGUACUGAAACUUUCGAUAUGGAUUACCUGAAGGAAAGCCAUAAUACUGUUUUAAAUGAUGCUAUUAACUAAAUGAAGUUUGACCCUCGGGUCUUUUUAUCAAAAAAAAAAAAGAAUGUUGCCUGGUACCCCAUCAAAAAAAAAGAAUGUCCCCUGGUAGCGGUAGCAAGCAAUGCGCGCGUUUUCUAUUUUUCUCCAAGAUUUGGACGAUUUCGGUUCUUGAAUUUUUUGUUGUGUGUCUGCCUUAUUCGUUUUGGAUAUUAUGGUAGUAAAGGGGGCUAGUGGGCGAUGGCGAAACCAUAGACAUUAGACGGGACCAUUGGGGUAUGGAAGGCAUCAUGGGUGAGUCGGUGUGUCGGAUCCCUUUCAAGGACAAUGAAAGAAAAGUCAAGGAUCUAUGUGACAACAGAAAUAGGCGGUGGAAAAGAGAGAGGGUUAAGGAGAUUUAUGGUGACUCUUUGGGGGAUUGCAUAUGUAAUUUGACCAUUCCCCAUAAUGGGGUCAAAGACACCAGAACGUGGUUACAAAACCCGCAUAGGACCUACACAACCAAGUCGACAUACUCAUGGAUGAUUCUUAAGAAAGUCGGCUUUGACCCCCAUAGAUUUUUGUGGCGCGCUAUUUGGAAACUCAAAAUGAUCCUAAAGAUCAAAAUCUUUAGCUGGAGAAUUGGUCAUAAUAUUCUGCCAACUUUUGACAAUAUAGCUCCCAUUCGUCAGUGUUUUAAUAAUUCUUGCCCGAGGUGCAAAAAUAGUGAAGAAACUCUGAUUCAUGCUAUGAAAGACUGUCCUAAGGCGCGUGAAAUCCUUGUUUCUGGGGGUUUAAAUAACAGUCUGCUCGACAGGAAUUUCACAAAUUGUAUCGACUAGCUUGAGGAUAUUUUUCGGGAGCUUGACAAAAAGGCUGCUGAUGAUUUUUUAACCCUGCUCUGGAACAGUUGGAACGACAGAAAUAAUAUGGUGUUUAAAGGGAAGAUGAAUGCUGCGGAGAUGAUAUGGGAAAGGGCGCAAACGUUAAGCAAAGAUUUCAGAAUUUUCAAUCUUACUAAGCCUGCGGUCAUGUCAACUAAUUUGGUGAAGAAGAAUUGGAAAAAAACCCCCUGAUGGCAGUAUUAAAAUUAACGUGGUUGCUACUGUUUUAAAUGGUUGCAGAGGAGUGGGAGCGAUCGCGAGAGAUCACAAUGGCCUUGUGAUAGGGGCUGCUAUACUUUCAAGGAAAAGGCUAUGGAUGUUAUCUGGGCAUUGUUGGAGGCGUUAAAGAAGGGUUAAAGCUGGCUGAACGGUUAAAGGUGGGUAGAUUAAUUGUGGAGUCGGAUAGUGCCAUGCUGGUCAACGCGGUCAAAAAAAGAAGGAUGGAUAUUACCAUUUUGGGCCAGUGCGUUAGAAGAGAAUGUGACGCUUUCAACAAAUUUGAAUCAGUCCAAGUAAUUUGGAUUAAUCGCAAUAGAAACUACGCUGCAGAUUUUUUAUGUAAAAUAGUGAUUAGGAAUAAAAAUGAUUUGUAUUUCGAUAUGGAGUAUCCGUCGGAUAUCCAUAACAUUAUUAUUCAUGAUGCUAUUAAUUGAGGUUGACCCUUUGGGUCGUUUUUGAUAAAAAAAGAAUGUCGCCUAGUAGGGUUGCCUGGUAGAAGCAGCGAGCGAGAGUAGCAUGCGCGCGUUUUCUGUUUUUUCUCCAAGAUUUGGACGAUUUCGGUUCUUGAAAUUUUGUUGUGUGUCUACCUUAUUCGCUUUGAAUAUUAUGGAAGUAAAGGCGGUUUGAUUGUGUGAUUUCUUUUGGUGUUGUUUCUUACGUCUUUGUUUAGUUGUUUCUGUUUAGGGGUGCGUCUGAGUUGUUGGUGAUUGGUGUCAGACGGUGUUUGUUCGGUGACAAGACUAUUGCGCUGUUUUGGUGCAUCGGGGUUCGUGUACUGGGGUUGCCUGUUGUUUCCUGGUUGUGCUUUUUCCUUUCUCAGUGGUAGAGGGUUUUUUGGACUACUGGAUAGUACGUGUUGCGUGUGGGGCCCGUCUGUCUUCUUCCUUUAGUUUUUUUGGUUUAUUUUAUUAUUUUCUCCAUUAUUCUCUAUUUCCAUUGAUUGCUUGGGUGCUUUUACGUUGGUUUGCAUUGCUUUUUGUUUGGUUUUGUAUGGUUUUACGAUUCUCUCGUGAGAUUUAACUGGUUGCCACCAUGGUCCUCACGGAGGUUUCUGAUUUUAUGUUCUUUGGCUUUCCUUUUUCGUAUGUUUCUUGGGUGUUGUUUGCAUGAAUUUUACGACUUUUUCUUUUCUUGGUUGUUUGUGGUCCCCACGGUGGUCAGGUCUUUGACCCGGGUGAAGCUAAUCACCUUUUUUACGUGUUCUCUUGCAUGUUCUGUGGUUUUUCUUUUAUUUCUCCUUUUUUUUUACGUUUUCUGCAUGGUUUCUUGCAUGUAGGGUUUUCUGCGCUACACGAAUCUUGCUUAGGCGGGGGACUGGACUUUUCUUUUCGUGGGUUGGCUCCUUUUUCCUGUUCUCUGAUUGUGUAGGAUUAGGCCCUCACUGGAUCUGUUAGUUUUGGUAAAUUUUCCAUUGGUUUGUUCGUUUCUUGCUCCCUGUGUGUUCGUGGGUUGGCUGUGUUGUUACCUGGUUUGGCUGUCUUUUCUCUGCUCUCUUCGCCGUUUGUGUUUGUCUUUUUUCGAGUGUGUCUAGCUUUGGCCUUUUUUUGGUUCUUGGUUGUCUUGAUAGGUACCUAUUGGGCGACAUAUGGAAGAAAGACAAGAUACUAACUUGAGAACAAUGAUGGAUGAGAUCAAUGAACUUCUAGAGAAGCUGAAAUUCUCAGAAGAAGAGACCACUCGGGUUGUUAGUACAAGUGAAGUUAACAAUGCCCGUGGCUUUGAGUCAUGGGAGAUCGGUAGAAUCAUGGCGAUCGAACCACCGAACAUGGAGGCAAUGUAUAGGGUUUUCAAAUCGCUAUGGUUUACAAAAGCGGAGGUGGAUUUUGUAGCGCUAAAAGAGGGGCCCGUCAUUGUUAAAUUUGGAUGCAUUGAGGAUAGUAGUCAUAUUCUAAAUCUCUCGCCCUGGCUGUUUGAUCGUUGCCUAUUCUCCAUGGUGCCAUUUGAAAAAGGAAAAGAAAUUGACUUGUAUGAGUUUUAGAUGUCACCUUCUGGCUGAGGGUUUACAAUAUCCCUAUUAAACUAAUGGAUCGUCAGACGGCUCUGGAUAUUGGCAAUGCUAUAGGAGAGCUGGUCCUAUUGAUUGGAAGGACCGGAAUAGAGGAUGGAUGGAGUUCAUGAGACUAAAAGCUAAGAUCAAUGCGUUAAAACCGUGGAGAAGAAUUGUGAAACUUGUUGAUAAGGAUGGGUUAGAAAUGAUAGGGUUGCUAAAGUAUGAGAGACUCCCGAAUUUUUGCUACGAGUGUGGAAUUAUAGGACAUAAUGCUAAAAAGUGUUCUUUUAUCAAAGGGGACGAUGAAUUGAAUGGUCUAAGCUCUCAGUACGGGAGCUGGAUGAGGGCACCCAUCGGGACCCAAAACCAAAACAGAGGUUUGAGAAGAAAUGGGGUGGAGUUAGUGAUGGCUACGGCCAGAAUAAGUGUGGAAAAAAACGAGUGUCAGACAAAUUCGAGGGGUGAAAGUGAGCAGACUGCACAAAAAAGGAAAGAAAAGGGUGGAGAAGAGGGCUCCAUAUCCAACUCUCCUCUGGAAAGGAAGUACCAUAGGACUAUGAGGGAUGGAAUGGGAAGAUUCAAGAGCAAACGAAAAAGACAGAGGGGUCCUAAUGGAGAGAAUAUGGAUGACAGCCCGACCAGGCUUGUUAAGAGAAAACUUUUAGAUUCUGUUUCACCUUUGAAGGAGGUGGCUGGUGACCAGCCCCGCUAUGAGCAAUGAAAUUUUUUUGCUGGAACUGUCGUGGGGUUGGAAACCCUGCCACAGUUCGUGAGUUAAAGCAACUCCUUGUUGCUAAUGAUCCGGAUAUUGUUUUUCUUUGUGAGACAAAAAUUCAUUCUAAUGCGUUUUCUCGUAUUCGCUCAACAUACAGGAUAGACGGGUGUCUUGCUGUUUGUUCGGAGGGGAGGAGUGGCGAGUUGCCUCUGAUGUGGAGGGAAGGUGUGAGGGUCACGGUGCAGAAUUAUUCCAAAUAUCACAUUGAUGCUUCUGUCAGUAUGGAGGAUGGUGAGAAUCUUAGGUUCACGGGAUUCUAUGGUCAAGCUGACCCGCACUUAAGACAAAAUGCUUGGGAUAUGUUGAGAAGGGUUAAAAGUAGGAAUAAUGAAAAAUGGACUGUGGGGGGGGGGAUUUUAACGACAUUUUGAACGAUGCCGAAAAGGAAGGUGGCCGUAGAAAACCUAAAACCCUCAUGGAUGAGUUCGCUAACUUCCUCGAUGAGCUGAACCUGUUCGAUGUUAAAACCUGUAAUGGGUGGUUCACGAGGACCAAGAACAGAGAGGGCAAGGGUUUGGUGAAGGAGAGGUUGGUGAAGGAGAAGCUUGAUAGAUUUAUCGUUUCUGAUGCAGUUGUGGAAAGCUUACCAUUUCUUACUUCCUAUAUUGUUAGAUAAUCUAAAUCUGACCAUGAAGCUAACCUUAUGGACACGGACGGGAGCAAGCCAAACGAUAAGAGUACUGACCAGAGGGGUGGUUUAGGUACGACCAUUGUUGGGUGGAGGAGAAGGGUGCUAGAGACUAUUUCUGGGAUUUGGUCGAACAGGGAGAGGGACACGCUGGAGAAGAUGGAGUCUGUUAGGGUUAAUCUAGGGUCAUGGCAAUACCACCGCUUUAGAAAUAUGAAGACUAGGAUUAAAGAAUUGGAGAAGGAGAUCAGCAAGUUAAUGGACGGGACUUUAAGUGAUCAGUCGACGAGCCUCCUUAAAAAUGCUAGAAGGAAGUUGGGCCAUAUUUAUGAUGUUGAGGAAAGGUAUUGGGCUACUAGGGUUCGUUCCCAAUGGCUUAAUGACGGGGACAGAAAUACCCAUUAUUUCCAUGUUCGGGCUUCGGGCCGCAAAAAGAAAAAUUACAUUGAGAGGCUGAAAGAUAAAAAUGGCAACUGGCAUGAGGACAAUAAGGAGAUCUGCCAUAUUGCGUCGAAUUAAUUUAAUGAGCUUUUCAAGACUUCGAUAAACAUGGAUGAUGAUUGUGAUCUUCAGGCUGUGCCCGAGUGUAUUAAUGAUGAGAUUAAUAGGAAGUUGAACAGGGAGUUCACAAAUGAGGAGAUCCUGAGAGCCUUCAACUAGAUGGACCCUCGCAAGGCUCCUGGCAUUGAUAGUUUGUCAGGGAGUUUUUUCAAGGAUCACUGGCCGAGUGUGGGGGAUGAUGUUCUUCUCCUAUGUCACGAUAUUCUGCAAGGCAAAAGGAGUGCUGCAUGUGUUAAUGAGACAUUUAUUGUGUUAAUCCCAAAGAUUAAAAACCACUGCGAGGUGGUCUACAAGAUCGUGGCUAAGACCCUUGCAAAUCGGCUUAAGGAGGUCAUUCACUGGUGUAUUAGUCACAAUCAAAGUGCCUUUGUUCCCAACAGAAUGAUCCAUGACAAUGUCUCAGUAGCCCACGAGCUCAUGCACUACCUUCGUAGUUCCAAAAAUGGCCCGAAUAAGGGUUGUGUGGUUAAGCUCGACAUGAGCAAGGCUUAUGACCAGGUCGAUUGGCGUUUCCUGGAAAAAUUUUUGCUUAAAAUGGGCUUCUCUAAUGCUUGGGUGUUUAAAAUUAUGGAUUGUGUUUGCUCUGUUCGGUAUAGAGUUAAAUGUAAUAAAACUCUGUCCGAGGUUAUUUCUCCAAAAAGGGGGCUUCGUCAGGGGGACCCGUUAUCCCCCUAUUUUUUUUUGUUUUGCAUGGAUGCCUUCUCUCGUAUGCUUUUUCAAGCUCAAGGUCUUGAUAAACUGAAAGGCAUUAGGGCUAGUAAGGAUGGCCCGAGAAUUAAUCAUCUUUUUUUUGCUGACGAUGCUCUUUUAUUUGUUAGGAAUAAGAAAAGCGAGGUGCUGGAGUUCACAAAGAUCCUGGAGGCGUUGAAGAGGAUGUCUGGUCAACAGGUCAAUUUGGAAAAGUUCAUGGUUUAUUUUAGUCCAAAUACUAAUACUGCUAGCCGUGCUAUGAUUGGGGGGCAUCUCAAGAUGAAGGUUGUGGCACAUUUCCAUGGUUACCUUGGGUUGCGCCUUUCGAUGGGGAAAAAUAAGCCUCGGGCCUUCAAAAGCAUUCUUGAUCGGGUCGCCAUUAGGAUCAACAGCUGGUCUAAGAGACUCUUAUCUAAUGGUGGUAAGGAGAUUUUCAUUAAAUCGAUUCUUCAGUCGAUUCCGACGUACGUCUUUUUGGUUCCUAUGGGUGUUUUAGAUGAGAUCCAAGCUAUGAUCGGCCAUGUGUGGUGGGGGGCAAAAACAUGAACAAAGGCUGGCAUAUGUUAGCUUGGGAUAGUAUGUGUUACCCUAAAGGCAUGGGGGGUUCGGCUUUAGGGCUCUCCGUCGUUUUAAUGUGGCGUUAUUGGGUAGACAAGUGUGGCGCCUCAUGAAUUGCAGGGAUACGCUUUGUUAUAAAGUCCUCAGUGCUAAAUAUUUCUCGGAGGGGGAUGUUUUGCGUCCUAAAAGGAGUGAUAAGCCUUCUUUCAUGUGGACGAGCAUUGUGCAGGCGGCAAGUGUUUUGUAUGAUGGCUUUGGCUGGAAUGUGAGUGACAGGAGGAAGAUUGAUUUUUGGAAUGAGAAUUGGGGUUAUGAGGGUUUAUCAGGUGACUCUAUUUGUCUUCCUAGGUGGGAGGUCCAGGAGAAUAGAGUUUGCAAGCUGCUGAAUGAGGAGAAAGAUGGCUGGAAUAAGAAGAGGGUGAGGGAGAUUUAUGUUGAUUUCGUGGGGGACCAAGUCUUUAAUAUUCCCAUUCUCUAUGAUGGCCCGAACGAUUCUCGUAUUUGGUUCCAUAGCCUAUUGGGUAAUUAUUCCACUAAGUCUGCUUAUUUGUGGUUGACUCUUAGGCAUGUAUGGUUGGGGCCUCACCGGUUCUUUUGGAAGAUGGUGUGGAGGCUGCAAACGUUGCCAAAGAUUAGAAUUUUCUGCUGGCGUAUUGGGCAUAAUAUUCUCCCCACAUUUGAAAAAAUUUCCACUAUCAGAAGGGACUUCAACAGUGACUGUCCGAGGUGUAGAAGGGACAAAGAGACCAUUAUUCACGCAUUGAAAGAUUGCCCUAAGGCUCGGGCGGUGUUGGUGCAUGGGGGUCUGAACAGUAAUCUGCUGGAUGGCAGCCACUGUCAGGGCGUGGACUGGAUCGAAGAGGUGGCCCGCUCGCUGGAUGUUAAGGCUCUUUCGGACUUCGUUACUAUUCUUUGGAAUAUCUGGAACAGCAGGAAUAACAAAUAUUUUGGGAAUAUGGAGGACGCCAAAGUGACGUGGGAGAGGGCUACCACUUUAAGCCAUGAUUUCCGCAUCUUUAAUCUGCUGAAGGAGCCGUCUUUGCCAAAGCCUACUGUGAAAAAAGGGUGGCGGAAGCCGAACCAAGGGAUGGUUAAAAUUAACUUUGAUGCUGCUGUAAAAGAUCGGAAAACUAGCUUUGGAAUUAUUGCUAGAGACCACGAUGGCUUUGUACUAGGGGGCGUGCUGGGGUGUUAAACAGGAACUAUAAUGCGGAAUGGACGGAGCUGUACGCAUUGGAAGAGAGCAUUAAUUUGCUAGGGAUAAUUCGUGGGCCAGGGUGGAAUUUGAGUCUGAUUGUGCCAGUUUGGUUAACCGCCUUAGAAGACCGAAUGUUGACUUGUCAACUAUGGGCCAUUGCAUUCGGGAUUUGCUUAAUUUUUUGAACCCGAACAUUAGUUUUAUUUUUAAGUGGGCUCCCCGCUGUUGUAAUAAAGCUGCUGAUCAGCUUUGUAGUUGGGCUAUGUUUAAUAAUUGUACUGAAACUUUUGAUAUGGAUUAUCCUAAGGAAAUCCAUAAUAUUAUUUUAAAUGAUGCUAUUAAUUGAGGUGGCCUUUGGGCCUUUUCUUUCAAAAAAAAAAAAGAAUCUCGCCUGGUAGCGCAUUGACCAAGUUUUUUUAGCUCUUUAGGGGGAGGUGAUAUUGAGCGACCAGGGGUUGUCCAGGGCACUGCCCACACCCACCGCAUGCCCGAACAUCGGUGCCCCUCACCACCAGUUAGGUUCCCUGUGAUCCAUCCCGGCGGUGCUCCAGCGAACCGUCCCGGUGGUGCUCUGGCGAACCAUUCCGGCAGCAUAGGCCCUUGGUCGUACGGGAGCCUUGGGCACCAUCGGCACCUUGGUGCUAGGAUGUGCGGGAGCCUCGCACACCAUUGGCAACCUAGGCCCUUGGUCGUGAGAGAGCCUCGGGCACCAUCAGUACCUAGGUGCUCGGAGGAGUGGGAGCCUCGCACACCAUCGCCAAACUAGGCCUUUGGUCGUGCAGGAGCCUCGGGCACCAUCGGCAAUCUAGGCCCUUGGUCGUGCGAGAGCCUCGUGCACCAUCGGCACCUGGGCACUCGGAUGUGCUGGAGCCUCAGACACCAUCGGCAACCUAGGCCCUUGGUCGUGCAAAAGCCUCGGGCACCGUCGGCACCUAGGCGCUUGAAUGUGUAGGAGCCUCGGGUACCAUCGACAAACUAGGCCCCCCGUCGUACGUGAGCGUCGGGCACGAUUGGCACCUGGGCGCUCAGAUGUGCAGGAGCGUCGGACACCAUCGACAAACUAGGCCCUUGGUCUUGCGAGAGCCUCAGGCACCAUCGGCACCUCGGUGCUAUGACCUGCGGGA
rnacentral:lncRNA from 1 species